rnacentral:rRNA from 1 species
GUGGGGAAUAUUGGACAAUGGGCGAAAGCCUGAUCCAGCCAUGCUGCGUGUGUGAAGAAGGUCUUCGGAUUGUAAAGCACUUUAAGUUGGGAGGAAGGGCAGUAAGUUAAUACCUUGCUGUUUUGACGUUACCGACAGAAUAAGCACCGGCUAACUUCGUGCCAGCAGCCGCGGUAAUACGAAGGGUGCAAGCGUUAAUCGGAAUUACUGGGCGUAAAGCGCGCGUAGGUGGUUUUGUAAGUUGGAGGUGAAAUCCCCGGGCUCAACCUGGGAACUGCCUCCAAAACUGCAUGACUAGAGUACGGUAGAGGGUAGUGGAAUUUCCUGUGUAGCGGUGAAAUGCGUAGAUAUAGGAAGGAACACCAGUGGCGAAGGCGACUACCUGGACUGAUACUGACACUGAGGUGCGAAAGCGUGGGGAGCAAACAGGAUUAGAUACCCCUGUAGUCC